GAUGAACGCUGGCGGCGUGCCUAAUACAUGCAAGUCGAGCGAACAGACGAGGAGCUUGCUCCUCUGACGUUAGCGGCGGACGGGUGAGUAACACGUGGAUAACCUACCUAUAAGACUGGGAUAACUUCGGGAAACCGGAGCUAAUACCGGAUAAUAUAUUGAACUGCAUGGUUCAAUAGUGAAAGACGGUUUUGCUGUCACUUAUAGAUGGAUCCGCGCCGCAUUAGCUAGUUGGUAAGGUAACGGCUUACCAAGGCGACGAUGCGUAGCCGACCUGAGAGGGUGAUCGGCCACACUGGAACUGAGACACGGUCCAGACUCCUACGGGAGGCAGCAGUAGGGAAUCUUCCGCAAUGGGCGAAAGCCUGACGGAGCAACGCCGCGUGAGUGAUGAAGGUCUUCGGAUCGUAAAACUCUGUUAUUAGGGAAGAACAAAUGUGUAAGUAACUAUGCACGUCUUGACGGUACCUAAUCAGAAAGCCACGGCUAACUACGUG
rnacentral:rRNA from 1 species